GCCUUGUGGCUCAGGCAGUAGAGCCUGAGACUCUUAAUAUUAGGAUCAUGGGUUGAAGCCCCAUGUUGGGCA